CUUUGCCACGCCUUGGACCUAGGACCAUACUGGGAACAUCAGGAGAGCCUGAGAAUAAAAUUCACUGAAGGUGGCAGAACAGAAAGACAGAAGAAAUCUGGGCCCAUGCCGAUGUCAUUAAACUGCUUAAUUAACCAGCCCUGGAACUGCCCCACUUCUGGACUUAUUAUUUUUAAGGACAGGAUCCCGGUCCAGUCUCCUGACUGCGUAGAGAUCCCUCUUCUUCCCGAAAGGCAGUGGAUGUACUUGAAAGGAGACUUCACGGACAUUCCCAAGGAGACCUGCAUUUUAAGCCCAGCUCUGUCUGCACUUGCUGUAAAUGAGAUCUCGCUUUGCUGCCCAGGCUGGUCUUGAGCUCUUGGCUCAGAAGAUCCUCCCUCCUCAAUCUCCUGAAGUGCUGGGAUUGCAGGCAUCAGCCACCACGCCCGGCCAAGGUCAGCUUUUCUGGGUAUAAACUUCCAGUGGGAGAAAGUUUCACCCUUCCAUGGACUAUUGCCUAUGACCUAUUAAACCCAGGGACCUUUUU
rnacentral:lncRNA from 1 species